UACGAAGGGGGCUAGCGUUGCUCGGAAUCACUGGGCGUAAAGGGCGCGUAGGCGGCCAUUCAAGUCAGAGGUGAAAGCCCAAGGCUCAACCAAGGAAGUGCAUCCGAAACUGCUGAGCUUGAGUACUUAAGAGGAUCGCGGAAUUCCCGGUGUAGAGGUGAAAUUCGUAGAUAUCGGGAGGAACACCAGUGGCGAAGGCGGCGAUCUGGGAAGAUACUGACGCUGAGGUGCGAAAGCGUGGGGAGCAAACAGG
rnacentral:rRNA from 1 species